rnacentral:lncRNA from 1 species
GUCAGAAUUAGCAUUUGUUGCACUGACUGAUGGUGGUAGCCUGAAUUUGAUUUUGUAGGAAUUAUGAAAAGACCCUGAAGAGGCAUGGCCCAAAGAGGAGGAGGAGAAGAAUAAAGCUUUAUUGCCUUUAUCUACAUCAAAAGAAUACAAACAUAUAUUCCCUUGAUGCUACACUGCUUCCUGCCUGCCAUGCCAUGAACUCUUUCUCCUCAGCCAUGCCCCUCUGCCAUGCCGCCUUGCCCCUCUGCCAUGCUGCCUUGCCAUGCAGCCAGCAGACUAUGGUCUGAGACCUCUCUACAAACGGAGAGCUAAAAUAAAGCUUUCCUACUUUAAGUUGUGGUUGUCGGGCAUAUUGUUCCAC